CCUACGGGUGGCAGCAGUGAGGAAUAUUGGUCAAUGGGCGCGAGCCUGAACCAGCCAAGUAGCGUGAAGGAUGACUGCCCUGCGGGUUGUAGACUUCUUUUAUAAAGGAAUAAAGUGAGGCACGUGUGCCUUUUUGUGUGUACUUUAUGAAUAAGGAUCGGCUAACUCCGUGCCAGCAGCCGCGGUAAUACGGAGGAUCCGAGCGUUAUCCGGAUUUAUUGGGUUUAAAGGGAGCGUAGAGGGGUUGUUAAGUCAGUUGUGAAAGUUGGCGGGUCAACCGGAAAAGUGCAAUUGAUACUGGCAGUCUUGAGUACAGUUGAGGUAGGCGGAAUGCGUGGUGUAGCGGUGAAAUGCUUAGAUAUCACGAAGAACUCCGAUUGCGAAGGCAGCGUACUAAACUGCCACUGACAUUGAUGCUCGAAAGUGUGGGUAUCAAACAGGAUUAGAUACCCCAGUAGUC
rnacentral:rRNA from 1 species